UCGCCUGUUUUUCAAAAACAUCUCUUCCCGAUUUUGAUGGGAAGUAGGCCCUGCUCAGUGUAUUUAAUAAAUAGCGGUUUUAACCUUAAUGUAGCGUGAUAAGUUGGCCUUUAAUUGGGGUCCAGUAUGAAUGGGUUGACGAUAGAAUGGCUGUCUUAUAGGGGGGCCUUAGAAAUUUUCUUUUUGGUGAAAAGACCUAAAUAAGUUUAAUAGACGAGAAGACCCCGUCGAGCUUGAUUUAUUUUAAAUUGUUAUACUUUGAAAGAACUUUUGUUGGGGCAACAACGGAGAAUAACCUCCGUUAACUACACGAAGAUCCAUAAUUUUAUGAAAAAAGGAAAAAGUUACCGCGGGGAUAACAGCGCAAGAUUGCUUUAGAGAUCUUAUUGAAGGCAGUAAUUGCGACCUCGAUGUUGGAUUAGGGUUACUUUUUGGCGCAGAAGCUUAAAUAGUGGGACUGUUCGUCCUUUAAAUCCUUACAUGAUCUGAGUUCAAACCGGAGA
rnacentral:rRNA from 1 species